ACACACCCCGCGAGGGGGAUCCACUUUGCACCUACAGCUGCAGCUCGGCGCCGUAACCGUAAGCGGGGUGGCAGCGAGGAAGUGAUGCAGAGUAACAGUAACUAGCAGGCAGGCCCCGCCCCGGCCGGGUGAUGUCAGACAGAGCUCACAAGUCAAGGGGCUUAAAGGGACUUUAUCCCCCCCCCUCCGCCCCAAACUCCUGAUUUCAGCCAGACAGCGGCCCCUGCUCCUGGCAGGCCUCUCCUCUCCCCCAAGCACUGAUUUCGACAGGUUGCGGGCAGCAGGCUGAGGGCUGGAAGGGGAGCCCGCUCCAGCUGUUCGGGCUGAGGAAGUGGGAUCAGAGGGUGUCACCGCGGGGAAAUCCUGGGCCCUCCAGGAGAAAAGCCAAAAUGCUGAGCGUGGCUGGGGGAAGGGAGCGAUAAGGAAAAGCCGCAGGCCCUGCCCUAGCAGAGUCUCAUGCCCAGGCUCAGACAGGGGGCAAGCAGCACUCAUUCAGCGGGCACUUCAAGGGCGAAGCAGCAGGCAGCAGCCCUGCCCCUUCCAACGAAGGCCACACACUGGGCAUCCUUACUGCUGCAGAGUAGCACCCUGUGCCUGGAGCAGGCCCCUGGUUUGAAUACUCCAGGAAUAAGGAACAGCAGUCUCCCAGGAGCUCGGGAUCCAGCAGGAUGAGGGACAGCACAGUCUGGCCUGUAGCAGGUGAUUCCCCACCACCACCACCUUGUGAAUCUUUGUGCGUUUGCUAUUUAUUGUCACGCAGUGGAUUUCAGGGUGUUACCCAUCAGGUGUCCAGAGAUCUAUACAGAUUCAACAGAAAGCUGAGCAGAAGCACCCAGCCUAUCUGGGCCGCCCCUUGGUCCUUGCAGGGGUGUUUCUGCGGGCGGCCAGCGUCUCCUCCACGGGGUACAAGUGCAGAGCCUAAAUUAGCGCUGCCUAUUCAGCGUGUCUGAGAUCCUGGCCAUCCCGAGAGGGACAUGGCCUAAACUGUGGCAACUCCACUGGAAACAAAUUGUGGCAGAUUCCACCAGCUCUCGCCACUCGCAUUUGCACUGGGGACUCCCUGGGCAGAAGGUCUCCAGAGACGCGUCCUGCUUAUUACCGUUUUUGCACUCUUGGGAAGCCGUUUUAUUCCUCUCUAGAGUACGCGAAGAUCCUACUCAAUGCAACAUGGAACUUCAGAGACCUUGAACAAUGUCCCGCUGGCUAAACCGCAGAAACCUCUCACUCCACUCUCUGAUUGAUUGAGCUUUAAAAACCCAACAAAACCAACAAACCGGUAUCCCCACAGUCUAACAAUGUGCUUGAUUCAGCCGAUAAACCACAGCAGUGAAACCUGAAACCAUCACGCCAAAACCCUCAGCAGCAGCAUUGUCCUGGGUACAUGUCACUCCGCUUGAUUAAAGGGAGUGUGCACUGAACCAGGAGGAAAGAUACACCCACAGGGCCAGGCUGGAGAGCUGCGACUCACACCGGCCAGUGUUUACUUGGGAUUCCACUGAAACCAAUGAGACUCUUCAUGUGAGCAGCUCUCCAUCAGUAGGAGCAAGGACUUUGCAGGCUGGCCCUAAGAGAUGUUGGGACUCCCACAGCUUUUGGGAUUCCCCCCCUGCUUCUAUAGAAGAACUUAGAAUGAAAAACAGCCACUGAUACCACUGGCUGCAGCCCUCCCUUACCCAUAGGAGACAGAGCGUGCGUUGCUGCAUGCAGCCCACAGUACUUGGUUGGCAUUUAAUGAUUGUGGGCAGCUGGAGUAAUCGCCCUGCAGAGGAACAAUGCUGUAGUAGGAAGCAAGAGAGAGGAGGAUGGAGCCCGACUUCCAUUUUGGUUUGGUGCCAGAUGAAUAGCAUUCCCUACCGAGCUGAGCAAACGGGUUGCCCACAAGUUAUCGAUGUGGAGGUCAUGGGGUGAAAUUCCAUGGCUUGUGCUAUGCAGGAGGUCAGAUUAUGAGAUCCUAAAGGUCCCUUUUAGCUUUAAAAACUAUGACUCCGCAAUGGAUAAUUUAUGAUCUGACAAAGAGCUGCUUUUUCUGCUUGCAGGGCAGUAGCGAGCAAUUUGCACCAGAUUUUAAUUCAUUAAUCAAAUUUAUUUGCGGGGUUUGGUGCAGGUUUUGUUGACUACAGAUGCUCGCCGCAAGUAUUCAAUGCACAGCCAACACUCCAGCUGCAGUUAGCUGCAAUUAGUCAGAUAAGUCACAUGGUAUUGUUUCUGACCCUUAAUUGGAUGAGCAAAUAAACAUUUUCUGUACAAAUACUUACACGUGCAAAUGAGAACAUUUGCUCUCUGUGACUAGCUGCAGGCAUGCCAGUGACACUGCCUGGUACUACAGGCUGAAUACUAAGCCCUGGUCUACACUACGAGUUUAGGUCAGAUUUAGCAGCAUUAGAUUGGUUUAGCCCUGCACUCGUCCACACGACAAAGCCAUUUUUUCUGACUUUAAGGGCUCUUAAAACCGGUUUCUGUACUCCUCCCCAACAAGCGGAUUAGCACUAAAAUCAACCGCUGGGUCGAAUUUGGGGUAGUGUGGACACAAUUUGACAGUAUUGGCCUCCGGGAGCUAUCCCAGAGUGCUCCAUUGUGACCACUCUGGACAGCACUCUCAAUUCAGAUGCACAGGCCAGGUAGACAGGAAAAGCCCCACGAACUUUUGAAUUUCAUUUCCUGUUUGGCCAGUGUGGUGAGCUCAUCAGCAGAGGUGACCAUGCAGAGCUCUUCAGCACAGGUGACCAUGGAGUCCCAGAAUUGGAAAAGAGCUCCAGCAUGGACCAUACGGGAGGUAAUGGAUCUGAUCGCUGUAUGGGGAGAUGAAUCCAUGCUAUCAGAACUCCGUUCCAAAAGACGAAAUGCCAAAAUAUUUGAAAAAAAUCUCCAAGGGCAUGAAGGACAAAGGAUAUCACAGGGACCCGCAACAGUGCCGAGUGAAACUGAAGGAGCUCAGGCAAGCCUACCAAAAAACCCAAGAGGCAAAUGCCCGCUUGGGGUCAGAGCCCCAGACAAGCCGCUUCUAUGAUGAGCUGCAUGCAAUUGUAGGGGGUGCCCCUACCACUGUCCCACCCCGUACAUGGACUCCUGCAAGGGGGGUCUCACGCAACAGGGAUGAGGAUUUUUGGGACGAGGAAGAUGAAAGCGCACACCAGGCAAGCGGAGAAACCGUUCUCCCUGACAGCCAGGAACUGUUUAUCACUUUGGAGCCACUACCCUCCCAACCCGGGCUCCCAGACCUUGAAGGCGGAGAAGGCAGCUCUGCUGCAAAUGUUUCAAAGCUCCCCCUAUCAUCGCUGUCCCAGAGGCUGUCAAAGAUUAGAA